rnacentral:rRNA from 1 species
GACGAACGCUGGCGGCGUGCUUAACACAUGCAAGUCGAACGAAGAGCGAUGGAAGCUUGCUUCUAUCAAUCUUAGUGGCGAACGGGUGAGUAACGCGUAAUCAACCUGCCCUUCAGAGGGGGACAACAGUUGGAAACGACUGCUAAUACCGCAUACGAUCUAAUCUCGGCAUCGAGGAUAGAUGAAAGGUGGCCUCUACAUGUAAGCUAUCACUGAAGGAGGGGAUUGCGUCUGAUUAGCUAGUUGGAGGGGUAACGGCCCACCAAGGCGAUGAUCAGUAGCCGGUCUGAGAGGAUGAACGGCCACAUUGGGACUGAGACACGGCCCAGACUCCUACGGAAGGCAGCAGUGGGGAAUCUUCCGCAAUGGACGAAAGUCUGACGGAGCAACGCCGCGUGAGCGAUGACGGCCUUCGGGUUGUAAAGCUCUGUUAAUCGGGACGAAAGGCCUUCUUGCGAAUAGUGAGAAGGAUUGACGGUACCGGAAUAGAAAGCCACGGCUAACUACGUG